GCGGUACACACAGGCCUUACCGGGCUUCUUGGGCUACUGAAUGCAGCUGUGAUUUCUUUCUCUGUCUUAAAUACAGCUUUAAAAACAAGAAACAAGCGUCCCAGUAUAUUCCUGGCUGUGGUGUUUUUGUAUCCACUGUUAGUUUCCCAAGGGACUUCAUGACUGCCCUGCAGCUGACGGUUUCUUGAGAAUUGACACGCGUCGCGGUCCUGCGUGGGGCAUCUGCAUGGUCUUCGGCACCGCUGCUUUCUUCCAGCGCCUUCCCAGCUCCCCUU
rnacentral:lncRNA from 1 species